UCGUUUAAUUAGUUGUAUUUAGUUCCACCUGAGUCCCUCCUUCACUGCUUCAUCAUUAUUCUUUUUUGACGGAUGUGGAUCGGACGGGUUUUAUUCGCAAGCCAAACAUUCCUCCCGCUGUGCCAACCUCACCUGUGGGGUCCCUAGGGCUCAAUACUGGGUUCCAUCCUGUUCUCCAUCUACAUGCUCUCCCUCAGCCAAGUCAUUCAUCGCCUUAAAAUUUCCUUUCAUUUCUACACUGAUGAUACUAAAUCUAUCUUCCACUCAAGACAGACGAUCCCUCUGGACUGGACCAUUUGAAGGACUGCUUGCAGGACAUAAAAGAGUGGAUGUCAAAAUUUCCUGCAGCUCAAUGACAGAGUGAAAUUCUUCUGUUCGGGAACUCCAACCUCCCAACCGUGCACAAUAGCCAAGAUCAAGUAUGUCCUCUCCCCCAGUGACUUAGAGGGUCGUGUUCAUGCUCAUCUUCUGCAGACUGGACUAAUGGAAUGCCCUCUAUGCUGGGGUCACUAACAAGACCAUAUAUAGCAUGCAGUUGGUACAAAAUGCUGGUGACAGGCACAAAAAUGAGGGAACACAUUUCUCCCAUCCUCUCCUCCCUUCACUGGCUCCUGGUGAAGCACAGAGUGAAAUUUAAGAUCCUUACGUAUGUCUUCAAAGCGCUCCGUGGUCUUACCCCAGCUUACAUCAAACAUCUCCUGGACCAACCUAUCAGCUCCAGGCUUGGUCGUUGCCUCAGAUCUGACAACCAGAUGACCUUGAAGGUCCCACAGUCAAACCUAGUGACAAAGAGAGACUGUGCAUUUUCAAUGAUGGUACCUGGCCUAUGGAAUAAGCUCCCCCUGAAAGUCAAGUCCGCCACCACUCUGGACACUUUUAGAGCACAGCUUAAAACUCACCUCUUUGCCGCAAAUGACUUGAUUUGUGUUCAUGUGUCUUAAAUGUUUGUUCUAAAUUCCUUUUGUGUCCCUGUUUUUUUUUUUUUGUU